rnacentral:rRNA from 1 species
GACGAACGCUGGCGGCGUGCCUAAUACAUGCAAGUAGAACGCACAGUUUAUACCGUAGCUUUCUCCACCAUAAACUGUGAGUUGCGAACGGGUGAGUAACGCGUAGGUAACCUGCCUGGUAGCGGGGGAUAACUAUUGGAAACGAUAGCUAAUACCGCAUAAUAUUGAUUAUUGCAUGAUAAUUGAUUGAAAGAUGCUAUUGCAUCACUACCAGAUGGACCUGCGUUGUAUUAGCUAGUAGGUGAGGUAACGGCUCACCUAGGCGACGAUACAUAGCCGACCUGAGAGGGUGAUCGGCCACACUGGGACUGAGACACGGCCCAGACUCCUACGGGAGGCAGCAGUAGGGAAUCUUCGGCAAUGGACGAAAGUCUGACCGAGCAACGCCGCGUGAGUGAAGAAGGGUUUCGGAUCGUAAAGCUCUGUUGUAAGAGAAGAACGGGUGUGAGAGUGGAAAGUUCACACUGUGACGGUAUCUUACCAGAAAGGGACGGCUAACUACGUG